rnacentral:rRNA from 1 species
AGCGAACGCUGGCGGCAGGCCUAACACAUGCAAGUCGAACGAACCUUUCGGGGUUAGUGGCGGACGGGUGAGUAACACGUGGGAACGUGCCUUUAGGUUCGGAAUAACUCAGGGAAACUUGUGCUAAUACCGAAUGUGCCCUUCGGGGGAAAGAUUUAUCGCCUUUCGAGCGGCCCGCGUCUGAUUAGCUAGUUGGUUGAGGUAAUGGCGCACCAAGGCGACGAUCAGUAGCUGGUCUGAGAGGAUGAUCAGCCACAUUGGGACUGAGACACGGCCCAAACUCCUACGGGAGGCAGCAGUGGGGAAUCUUGCGCAAUGGGCGAAAGCCUGACGCAGCCAUGCCGCGUGAAUGAUGAAGGUCUUAGGAUUGUAAAAUUCUUUCACCGGGGACGAUAAUGACGGUACCCGGAGAAGAAGCCCCGGCUAACUUCGUG